UGGACUACAGGGGUUUCUAAUCCUGUUCGAUCCCCACGCUUUCGUGCCUCAGCGUCAGUCGGGCGCCGGUAUGCUGCCUUCGCAAUCGGAGUUCUGCGUGAUAUCUAUGCAUUUCACCGCUACACCACGCAUUCCGCAUACUUCUCGCCCACUCAAGCACGACAGUUUCAACGGCGGAAAGGGGUUGAGCCCCUCGAUUUGACCGCUGACUUACCAUGCCGCCUACGCACCCUUUAAACCCAAUAAAUCCGGAUAACGCUCGCAUCCUCCGUAUUACCGCGGCUGCUGGCACG
rnacentral:misc_RNA from 1 species